rnacentral:rRNA from 1 species
UAGAGAAGUAAAAUUGGUACCAGGGUUUCGGUAGUGUGACCUUGCGGAAGGAUCAUUA